UACGUAGGGGGCAAGCGUUGUCCGGAUUUAUUGGGCGUAAAGAGCGUGUAGGCGGCCAGAUAGGUCUGUUGUGAAAACUCGAGGCUCAACCUCGAGACGCCGAUGGAAACCAUUUGGCUAGAGUCCGGAAGAGGAGAGUGGAAUUCCUGGUGUAGCGGUGGAAUGCGCAGAUAUCAGGAGGAACACCAAUGGCGAAGGCAGAUCUCUGGGCCGUAACUGACGCUGGAGGAGCGGAAAAGCAUUGGGGAGCGAACAGG
rnacentral:rRNA from 1 species